rnacentral:rRNA from 1 species
CUCCCUGAGAUUAGCGGCGGACGGGUGAGUAACACGUGGGCAACCUGCCUAUAAGACUGGGAUAACUUCGGGAAACCGGAGCUAAUACCGGAUACGUUCUUUUCUCGCAUGAGAGAAGAUGGAAAGACGGUUUACGCUGUCACUUAUAGAUGGGCCCGCGGCGCAUUAGCUAGUUGGUGAGGUAAUGGCUCACCAAGGCGACGAUGCGUAGCCGACCUGAGAGGGUGAUCGGCCACACUGGGACUGAGACACGGCCCAGACUCCUACGGGAGGCAGCAGUAGGGAAUCUUCCGCAAUGGACGAAAGUCUGAC